rnacentral:lncRNA from 1 species
UGGGGGUGUGUGAGCCAUUAACUGUGAUCUUCCAUAAACUAUAGUCAUGUGCUUGUAUAAAAAUUUUCAUCCCAAUUUUUCAAUAAGGAUAAUUAGACCCAUUAAGCAUUGGGGGUCUAUCUAUGGAAUAACCUUUAUUAAGAAAAGAUUUCAUAUUGGGUUGUAAGAUUUUUUACUCUUUAACUGCUAGAUUAACAACUAAUAAUGGAACACCUGCUCUAAUACCACUUGUUGUCCAGAAAGAUAGCAACCCA